UUCAGUGAUGCUUUUAUUUAAGGAUUAGCUCCAAAACAAGGAAAUGUCCUACGUUUGCAGGAUUGUGACAAAAGAACAAAAUGUGGUUAUAGCAACAACAGGAAAAAGAAAGCCUGUCAUGCUAGUAUCAUUUGUUUCCGUCUUGUGUGGCAUGUUCAGAACCUUUUACCACAGGCAAAUUAAGUAGUCAUCAUGGAUACUUCUCAGUCAUGACCUAGGACAGAGCAGCAAAAUACAAUGUAUAUGGAGCAGCUAAUCAAACUGUGAGUUAUUAAAAGGAAUCCGGAGUACCCAGAAAAAAAAAACAUACAUAUACAGGAAGAACAUGCAAGCUCCAUGCAGAUGGUGGCCAGUAGUCAGGAUUGAAUGAAUCCUGAAACCCACUCCUAUGAGGUGGCGAUCAUAAUCUCUAAGUCACAUGUUAUAGUAUUUCAGUGCUGAAUAAAUUUGUAAGAUAAUCUUUCCCCAGAUCUAUGUUUCUUCCAAUGUUCCAGUUGCUUAAUGGCUCUAUCCCAGUUACUAAAUCAUUAAAACAAUUUUUCAAAUAA